GAGUUUGAUCCUGGCUCAGGACGAACGCUGGCGGCGUGCUUAAUACAUGCAAGUCGAACGGAGUUAAGGGUUUCGGCCCUUAACUUAGUGGCGAACGGGUGAGUAACGCGUGAAUAACCUGACUCAAAGAGGGGGAUAACAACGGGAAACUGUUGCUAAUACCGCAUGAGACCACAACACCGCAUGAUGAAGGGGUCAAAGAUUUAUCGCUUUGAGAGGGGUUCGCGUCCCAUUAGGUAGUUGGAGGGGUAACGGCCCACCAAGCCAACGAUGGGUAGCCGAGCUGAGAGGGUGACCGGCCACAUUGGGACUGAGACACGGCCCAAACUCCUACGGGAGGCAGCAGUGGGGAAUAUUGCACAAUGGGCGAAAGCCUGAUGCAGCGACGCCGCGUGAGCGAAGAAGUAUUUCGGUAUGUAAAGCUCUAUCAGCAGGGAAGAUAAUGACGGUACCUGACUAAGAAGCACCGGCUAAAUACGUGCCAGCCGCCGCGGUAAUAC
rnacentral:rRNA from 1 species